UUCCGUGACCCCGAACACGGCGAGUGGUUCGGGUACCUGAACCGGGACGGCACCGUCGCUCUCACCAUCAAGGGGGGGCCCUACAAAGGGUGUUUCCACGUGGCGCGGGCGCUGCUGAUGUGCGAGGAGCUGCUGGGGGCCAUCCUGGAGCGGGGGGAGGGGGCUGAGGACCCCCCAAAAUAAAUAAACCCCCUCCCCGUGUCCGUCUGUCCAUCCCCGGGGGAGGAACCUGCCCGUUUCCAACAUGGCGGCGCCCGUUGGGCGCUUCGUGACGUCACUUCCGCCCGUACCGUUCUGGGGCUUCUCUCAUCUCCUCC